rnacentral:rRNA from 1 species
UACGGAGGAUGCAAGCGUUAUCCGGAUUUAUUGGGUUUAAAGGGUGCGUAGGCGGAUAAAUAAGUCAGUGGUGAAAGCCUGCAGCUUAACUGUAGAAUUGCCAUUGAUACUGUUUGUCUUGAGUACAGUUGAGGUGGGCGGAAUAUGGCAUGUAGCGGUGAAAUGCUUAGAUAUGCCAUAGGACACCGAUUGCGAAGGCAGCUCACUAAACUGUCACUGACGCUGAGGCACGAAAGCGUGGGUAGCAAACAGG